rnacentral:rRNA from 1 species
UACAGAGGGGGCAAGCGUUGUUCGGAAUUACUGGGCGUAAAGGGCGCGUAGGCGGCCUGCUAAGUCGAACGUGAAAUCCCUGGGCUCAACCCAGGAACUGCGUCCGAUACUGGUUGGCUUGAAUCCGGGAGAGGGAUGUGGAAUUCCAGGUGUAGCGGUGAAAUGCGUAGAUAUCUGGAGGAAUACCGGUGGCGAAGGCGGCAUCCUGGACCGACAUUGACGCUGAGGAGCGAAAGCUAGGGGAGCAAACGGG